ACGGGAGGCAGCAGUGAGGAAUAUUGGUCAAUGGGCGGAAGCCUGAACCAGCCAAGUAGCGUGCAGGAUGACGGCCCUAUGGGUUGUAAACUGCUUUUGUGCGGGGAUAAAAAAGGGGACGUGUCCCCUCUUGUAGGUACCGCAAGAAAAAGGACCGGCUAAUUCCGUGCCAGCAGCCGCGGUAAUACGGAAGGUCCGGGCGUUAUCCGGAUUUAUUGGGUUUAAAGGGAGCGCAGGCGGCCUGUUAAGCGUGUGGUGAAAUGUAGUGGCUCAACCCCUGCACUGCCACGAGAACUGGCGGGCUUGAGUGCGGUGAGCGCUGGCGGAAUUCGUCGUGUAGCGGUGAAAUGCUUAGAUAACACGAAGAACUCCGAUUGCGAAGGCAGCUGGCGGUAACGUUACCGACGAUCAUGCUCGAAAGUGUGGGGAUCGAACAGGAUUAGAUACCAUGGUA
rnacentral:rRNA from 1 species